CCUACGGGUGGCAGCAGUGGGGAAUAUUGGACAAUGGGCGAAAGCCUGAUCCAGCCAUGCCGCGUGUGUGAAGAAGGCCUUCGGGUUGUAAAGCACUUUCAGUGGGGAAGAAAGCCUUGGGGCUAAUACCCUCGAGGAAGGACAUCACCCACAGAAGAAGCACCGGCUAACUCCGUGCCAGCAGCCGCGGUAAUACGGAGGGUGCGAGCGUUAAUCGGAAUUACUGGCGUAAAGCGCGCGUAGGCGGUCUGAUAAGCCGGUUGUGAAAGCCCCGGGCUCAACCUGGGAACGGCAUCCGGAACUGUCAGGCUAGAGUGCAGGAGAGGAAGGUAGAAUUCCCGGUGUAGCGGUGAAAUGCGUAGAGAUCGGGAGGAAUACCAGUGGCGAAGGCGGCCUUCUGGACUGACACUGACGCUGAGGUGCGAAAGCGUGGGUAGCAAACAGGAUUAGAUACCCCGGUAGUC
rnacentral:rRNA from 1 species